rnacentral:rRNA from 1 species
UACGAAGGGGGCUAGCGUUGCUCGGAUUGACUGGGCGUAAAGGGCGCGUAGGCGGUUCGUACAGUCAGACGUGAAAUUCCUGGGCUCAACCUGGGGGCUGCGUUUGAUACGUGCGGACUUGAGUGCGGAAGAGGGUCGUGGAAUUCCCAGUGUAGAGGUGAAAUUCGUAGAUAUUGGGAAGAACACCGGUGGCGAAGGCGGCGACCUGGUCCGAUACUGACGUGAGGCGCGAAAGCGUGGGGAGCAAACAGG